UACCUUUUGAUAAAGGUUGAUUGGUCUAUUCAACAUAUGAGAAAGAGAUAUGCUAUCGAUUUAUGCCUCUUUUCCUAGUGUGUCAUAGGCUACACCUGCCUUGGGGUGCUUGAUUGACGGGACAUGUGCGUGACCGGUGCAUGAACCCCAGAGUUGACCCGGGGUCGUCACGCUGAGGACUGCGUUCAGGCGAAGUAAUCUUGCAAUAACAUCGUAGGCACGUAAUGUGUCAUUCAACCGGUCACUGUAGUUUUCCGCCUUGACAAAUAAAAUUUUGCAUAGUCAUUAAUAUUAAUUGUAUUUACAUCGUUUUUACCGAAUCAUGGCCGAGAAAUUUGCAUAUACUAGCCAAAUUUCUGUGUGUAGGCGGGACUCAAACAGUUACAGAAUAACACAGACCAACUCCUCGGUUCCAGGGGGCGACCUGCCCGAAGAAAACUCUACAACAGACCUGGGAACCCCCUGAGUUAGAGUCUCCGCGCGAUGAAAUUUAUAGAGAUCAGGGUAGCAUCCAGGCUACCAGUCUCUGGGAGCUCUUCCACUUUUAUUUUGGGAAUUGUACCGCUGAGGAGUCCGCUGUAGCUCCUAGACUUUUUCAUAGAGCCUAGAGACGUGUUGCCGCCCGUCGGAUCACCACAAUAUGUUUUGUGCCGGAAGUAAACAGGCAAGGACAGUACUUCUAAAAAUUUGGGCAGAAAACGAGCAGACACGAGGUUGGGGCUGCAGGUGGGUUAAAACCAGGUGCAGGAUGAUGGGACGACGAGGAGCGGAGAUCAGAUUAAGCUACCGGUGGUCGACAAGGCAAGUCCGAGGAACCGGUCGCCGACGUAGCCAGGAAGCCAUGGUUCCAACAGCCUCUACACAAUUCCCCAACUCCAGAGCUGACGCCACCCCAAGGAAAGCAUGAAGAUGAAAGGCCAAGCCAAGCUGACUCCCAGCCAAGCAGUCAUUUCGCUGCCAGACAGAGAGGAGAAAAGCCAUGCCACGGGUCUUGAGCUGGUCUCUGAUGAUCAAUAACACCUGCUGCCACGAUCGCGAAGUCAACACACUCCCUUUCACUUUGGUCGGGCAAGAGAGAUAAACACGGGCAAGACCGACUCCUCCCGCCGCAACGGACGUCGCUGAUGGCUUGCGCUGGAAGACGAGCUGUAUCACUGUGGGGAAGGACGCCCGUAUGCAAAUUGCAACAACGGGACCAAGGCUGGGAGCCAUGCAAAAUCCGGAACAACGUCGCCCUAAGGAGCAAGGCCAUGAGAGGAAAAUGCCAGACCGGAGCAGAGCCGCGUACAGCCAAGAUUGCGCUGCUACGACUAUGGAAAUACUGACGCCAGUUUAUGGACUGAUGUACACGUAUUGUCUGCAUUACUAGUAUUUGACUUUACAGACACAAAAACGUAUUGUCUAGUCUAUUAUGUGUAUCAAAGAAUAUACAAGUAACGUAAUUGACUCAGACGACGACGGUCCAAAUCAAACCAUGUGCGGAUUUACGAAUGGUGGAAAUCCCAUACAGACGCACGUACGGUCUCAUUGAUGAGUUUUUAACUGCAUUGGGAGUAAUGGCAUGCAAAAAUACGUGUUUCACAUGGGCGCGUACAAAAUGAACGCACUUGAAAUAUGUUUAUUCUAUUUAUUCUUUGUUGCGCUCAUUUACGUUUUAUCUUGUAAAAAAUUUACGACAACAGCUAAACAUUCAGUCUUAUAUGACAAUUAGAACAUGCAUGAAGUUAGUACACACCGCAACGGGGACUGCACAACUCAGAACUGUGUGCCUCCGACCCAGACCGCAGCUACCGAACAUUGCCUGUUAAUUUCUUGAAGUAGAAAGAAACUUUCACCAAUCUAACGUUAGAGAUCAGUUGGGCUGGAUAAAAGGAAAAUUCUCAUCGCUAAAAAAACACCUCCGUGCAGCCGCUUACUUUUUUGGGCCGUAAUUUGGAGUAAUACAUCAACGGGACCUUACAAAUAUUAUGUAUGCAUGCUGAUGUUGCAUUUCAGUCCGUCACUUGCAACAAGCUAGAUACAACGCAAUGGUUGCUGUAUGUACCGGCAUGUAUUAGUCUAUAUUGUGACAUGAUUAUUAUUCUCAGACAGUUUCCGGUAAUUCGUUAAAUUUGAUAAUGUGAACUGCAACAGACCGAGAUAAAGUACUAGUAACAAUGUUGUGUGAUGUGAGCGGACAGCUGUGUAACUGUCUGUCAGGUAAGACAGAAUAUAAAGACGAGAGAUUUAUUUCUAAGGCAAUUCAGGAGAGCAACAGACCGAGUGACAUAGCAUUAUGACGUCGCAGUUAGUAUACGUUCAAAGUCUCCCGUGCCCAGUGUACGGAAAUCCCUA